GACUCUAAGCGGUGGAUCACUCGGUUGUCGGGUCGAUGAAGAACGCAGCCAGCUGCGAGACUUGGUGUGAAUUGCAGGACACACUGAGCACUUACUUUUUGAACGCACAUUGCGGCCUCGGGCCUUCCCGUGGCUUAAUCUGUGUGAGGGUCG
rnacentral:rRNA from 1 species